rnacentral:lncRNA from 1 species
AUUAAACCAUCUCUAAAGUACCUGUCAUCUCUGAAAUUCUAGAAUUCUUUGAUUGCAGCUAUAACCUUAUGAAAAAAGACAGCUUUUAUGUGUAUUUUCCUUAUUAUGUCAUUCAUCAGUUACCUGAACCUGCUUCUUUGAUGCCUGUGUAAUACUCUCAUUGUUCACAUGAUAGGAAUGUUAGAAAGUCCAGUCUUGUGGACUACAUAAAUGUCAGUAUUACUGUAAUUAUAAAGAAACUUGUGGAAACCAUUCUGUCUCAGGGCACUCUCAUUUUCAUUAACUUUUUUUUUUUUAAAUCUGAGACGAUCUUUAAAUAGAUACAGCAACUGCAUUCAACUUAACUAGAGUAGAAUAUGCUUCCUUUUCUAUGUCCUCAGCUAAGGCAAGUAGGCACUACUGACACAUUCUCUCCCAUUACUCUGUCAAAUGGCAUUUUGAGAAUUUGCCCAACCUAUGUGAUGAAUGUUGCCUAUCCCUGGUGAGACCCCCAACAACUGUGUAGCGUCAGCCUAAAUUAAGCUGUCAUUUGUUCUUUUGGAAUUGCCCUUUCUCUGUGUUUAGUACUUUCUUACCCAACUACUUUCACAACAAGAGGGUGAAUACACUGGCAGAAAAACAAAUGGAAUGCAGAAAACAGGCUGAGACUGUAUCAGUCAAGUAUUGCUCAAGUUCUUUUUGUUUUUAAGUGGUGACUGUCAUAAGUUCACAUUUUAUGAAUCAAGAGUCUCAUUCUAUUCAGUGCUGGUGACUGAAGGGCCUGUUCAGAAAGGAUACUGUUUAACCAAAGAUACAGGAAAAUCUGUUAAGUGAAUUAAGUCAAUGAACUUUGAAUAACAGUUGAAAGUUAUUCACAAUGAAACUGUGAGCAGCCAAGAAACAAGUCCUAGAAGAAAAUUAGCAGAAGAGCAAUAUGCUUAUAAGUACACAAAACUUGAGAUUUUCACAUUAACCAAACUGAU